GCCCAGGCCCAACGCGCGGUCGCGCGCGCUUCACCGCUCGCUCUCGAGGUCUCCCACUAUCGCUCCUGCCCGUCCGCCGGCACCCGCGAGGAGCCGCCAGCCUGCCACGCAACCCGCCAGCGCCGCCACCAAGCUGGAUUCAGGCAUCCAGCGCGAAGCAGCAAACCCCCCGGAUCCAUGCAUCUGUGCCGCCAGGAUGGACAAUGAGGCCAAGAAGUAGUCGGGAUUGUCGGUGCUUCUCCAGGUGGCUGCCGAGCUGCUGGACGACGGACUGCCGGAGGCGAAGGAGGCUGCCCGCCGCAGCGUGGUGGGGUCGAUGCAUCGCCUUCGCCAAGGAGGCUGCGGCGGCGGCGGGGAGGAGGACGCGGCACGGCCGAGCCGAACAUUUAGCUCGUUAUGCUAAUGAGCUGCACCGAGCCGGCUCGUUAUCCAGGCAUCCAGCCCUAAUUUAUUUGGUGGAACUAGACAGCAUAGUUGAGCAAGUCAAGGAUUAGGGCGUUAGGGGCAAGAUUAGGCUGCGGAUGAUAGUAAUUUGGGCAGGGACGUACCCAAGAUUGAGUAAAUCAAACUGAACAUCUCAAGUCUGAAUGAAGUGUUCAUGUAGGCAUGCCUUGGUAAUUGAACUUCCUUCUUGGAUCCUCAUUCCAGUACCCUGUACCAUAUAAUCCCGAAAAUGGAAUUGUUGAGUCUAGAGGAAAUUAACUCAGUUAUAGUAAUAAAGCACGACUACAAGUGUUCUAUUGCCAUUUGUUUGGCCACUUAGUUGCCUUUUAGUCGAUAGAGUUUGUAUUUCCAAUCUUGAGCAAACCUGCAAAUAGUUUGAGCAGUUCUGCUGAUAUUUGUGACGUUCUCUUUUCUAUGAUUGCUAGAGCUGGAAAUAUAUAGGGAUUCUUUUGAAAGCAGAUACUAAGAAACAUACUAUUUCUUCUUUAGUUUCUAGUUCGCAGCAGACCUUUUGACUAUGCUCCACUUAAUUGUUAGUACUACAUAACAUAAAUUGUCAAUUUUUGUACCAUAUGAAGUAGAGUGCUUGAUUUAGGAUAUGGUACCAAAUUUUUUUUAAGUGGUGAUUGUAUUUGUUCUAUCCCUUCAGUGGGCUUUUCCAUUGUGGCUACCUAGUGUUUCCAUUUGAAGAUAUUGUGUCAUCUUUUUGGUACCAUACCUUUGUUCCAUAGCUAUAUUGUGUCUUCCAAGUAUUACAUAUUUUCCAAUUGCACAAUAAUGUAUUUUCAAACAAUAAUUUGACAUCUUUAGGUUAAAUCACUGAAUUGUCACUAAUUUGACAUCUUUAGGUUAAAUCACUGAAUUUGCACAAUAAGAGCUGCCUGAAGAGGUAACUCUUAAAAGAAUUGUCAGUGCACGCCCUGCACCUUAAAUUUAACAUCUUUAGGUUAAAUUACUGAAUCUCCUUUUCUUGCCAUCUUAUAUCCACUAUUGAUUUCUCAAUCGGAGAGGUUUACAUAGUAUAGCAGUGCAAAGAACUGUAGGUGUGUGUGACUAUAUGAGAGGUAAGGAGGGGCCAUUACACUGAUUUACUCAAAUCAUGAUCAUGCUGUGCUUCCAUAAGUAGUACGGGUAGUCGAGGACAGCAAAACCAACUUGAAUUGAGAUAUCAUUGAGAAAGAGCACUUGCUUUUGUAAAUUCACCCAUUUCUAUCGAGCUCUACACAUUGGCUUAUUCUUUUGUUUGAAUCUACAUUUUGUGACUUGCUUUGAUUUCUGAUGUCGUGAUAGAAAUGGAGUGGUAAUGAUAGCUAAUGUUACCUAAAAUUUUUAUAUUUUUCUUAACGAUUGUCUGUCAUUUGAAAUUGGAUUGUUGUACUUUUCAGUAAUGAAUAAAUGUCUUGUAUUCCAUCAAAAAAUUAAUGCCCUGUAAUUAUGUCCAUUCUGUUACAUAAUGCACUCAUUAUUCAUAGCAAAUAAUAAGAGAAUUCAGUUUGACAAUAUUGCAAUACGAAAAUAAUAAAGAGUGGGAACUAAUUUGUGGUGGCAUGGGUUUACAAAAUUAGUUAUAGCCAACGAGUAUAACAAUAUUUUGCAGUGCCUCAAACUGAUUUUGCUUCUAGUUUGUGGGAACUUCUAAAGUCUUUUUAGCCUAAAAGUUUUAGAUCGCUUAUGAAAGGAAGAACAUAAAAAGAUAAUGUGUACUAAUAUUGUCACUUGGAGUCUGAGUUAGGUUUCACUUUCUUGCAAAGUAGAGGUUUCUUUAAGCAAAGGCAACACUAGAAAGGAGGGAGGAAGAUAGAGUAAAAUAAAAGUUAGGAGUUGGACAACAAACUGCUGAAACAGGAAACAGCACAUCAGUACCAUACAACCAGGACUUCUGUACAAUGCUAAUUACUCUUACACAUUCGCAGACUCGCAACCCUACACCUUCAUAACACCGAGGUAUCUGGCAAUGGAAACCAGAGAGCCAAAAUUUUGGGGACAAUUCUACCUACCUAGUCCCCACCAUACAGGCUGCCUACAGUUCAAUCAAGGCGGCUGUGGCUCAGGCGAAGCGAGUACAUUGUCUUCUUGUACUCGGCCCAGGUGAAGGGUCGGUACUGGCAUGGUGAGUCGGCUGUGAUCGUCUCUGGGAGGGCCGAAAUUCGUGUAUGCAAUGGUGGUGCUGCAAAGUAGAUCGUGGACAGCCUUGGCCUGCAAGCGCUUGCAAUUACCCUGUGCCGGACACUUACCAACUUCCCAUUUGUCAGAGCCUGGGAACAAGAAAGACAAAGGAGAGGUAAAUUCGUGCCUUUACCUGGAGGAGGUCACCAACAUUGACGAAGAAUGCUGAUGGGUCGGCCGGCACCUGAACCCACACCUCCUUGCCAUCGCUGUUUGGUAGAAGCACCUGCAGGCCAUUGACGUCGUUUGC